rnacentral:rRNA from 1 species
GAUGAACGCUGGCGGCGUGCCUAAUACAUGCAAGUAGAACGCUGAAGCUUGGUGCUUGCACCGAGCGGAUGAGUUGCGAACGGGUGAGUAACGCGUAGGUAACCUGCCUGGUAGCGGGGGAUAACUAUUGGAAACGAUAGCUAAUACCGCAUAACAGUCGACAUUGCAUGAUGUUGAUUUGAAAGGGGCAAAUGCUCCACUACCAGAUGGACCUGCGUUGUAUUAGCUAGUUGGUGAGGUAACGGCUCACCAAGGCGACGAUACAUAGCCGACCUGAGAGGGUGAUCGGCCACACUGGGACUGAGACACGGCCCAGACUCCUACGGGAGGCAGCAGUAGGGAAUCUUCGGCAAUGGACGGAAGUCUGACCGAGCAACGCCGCGUGAGUGAAGAAGGUUUUCGGAUCGUAAAGCUCUGUUGUAAGAGAAGAACGAGUGUGAGAGUGGAAAGUUCACACUGUGACGGUAACUACCAGAA